rnacentral:rRNA from 1 species
AGCGAACGCUGGCGGCAGGCUUAACACAUGCAAGUCGAGCGGGCAUCUUCGGGUGUCAGCGGCGGACGGGUGAGUAACGCGUGGGAACGUGCCUUCUGGUUCGGAAUAACUCAGGGAAACUUGAGCUAAUACCGGAUACGCCCUUUUGGGGAAAGGUUUACUGCCGGAAGAUCGGCCCGCGUCUGAUUAGCUAGUUGGUGGGGUAACGGCCUACCAAGGCGACGAUCAGUAGCUGGUCUGAGAGGAUGAUCAGCCACACUGGGACUGAGACACGGCCCAGACUCCUACGGGAGGCAGCAGUGGGGAAUAUUGGACAAUGGGGGCAACCCUGAUCCAGCCAUGCCGCGUGAGUGAUGAAGGCCUUAGGGUUGUAAAGCUCUUUUAUCCGGGACGAUAAUGACGGUACCGGAGGAAUAAGCCCCGGCUAACUUCGUGCCAGCCGCCGCUGUAA